rnacentral:sRNA from 1 species
AAAAUUAGCUGGCAAACAACUCACAGUGAGAUUAGUUUUGGGCUUUACUAUGCACCAACAAACAAAGACUUAAUUACACCUGAUGGUGUUAGUCACUUUGGGAGCAGUGAUCUUGAGAUUUCGAUGCUAAAUACGCUCAGAUUUGAAAGUUGGUGUCUUGAUAUUUCUUAGCUCCUCUAGAUCAAGAUGGCAGAGAACUUUGUAAGGAUAGGUCUCCCAUCCAUCACACAACAUUCAAGCACCAAUGGGUUUCUUUCAAGGAGUUGAAGAUAAGGUUGUUCCCCUUUACCAAGCUGAGAUGAUACA